AAUAUAAAUAUGUUUGUGUAGUUAUCUUUUGGUUAAUAAAAUGUAUUUAAGAAAAAUAGUUUUAAAUAAAGUUGGUUUUAGUAUAGAAGAAAGAGCUUUUUUGGACUUAAGUAUAAAAGUACCGUUAGGGAAAUUUGAAAUAAGUAUGAAAAUUUAAUUGGUUUAAAGGAGAGGUAAAAAUUCGUACCUUUUGUAUCAGGGAGAAUCAAAAUGUAACAUUUAUAGUGGACUUCCCGAAAAAAGAAUAGCUAAUAGCUUAUAGUUGUCCUGGUGGGAAACAGGUUUAGAAUAAGUUUAUUAGUGGUGAAAUGCCAGUCGAGUCUUUUGAUAUCUGGUUGUUCUGGAAAUAAAUUUAAUUUAGACUAAACUGCUGAGUAAAAUAGGUUUGGCUUUAGAACCGGAGGGAAAAGCUUCUGGUUAAACUAGUUGUGUAAGAAAAAUUAUUUGAAAAGAGAAUAUCCUAACUAAGCCUAGAAGUAGCUAUGUUGAUAAAGUGUCUUAACUAAGACGGAUUCCUGUGAGAAUAUUUUUAUAAUCUUCAUGAGAGAUACAGAACUUUAAUUUAGAAUUUGACAAGUCUAGUAGCAAUGAUUUUAUUAGUAUAAUAAUUUUCUGUGUGUUAAAUCAAAGUAAACCUAGAAUAAUGAAUAUUGUUUGUUUUGUAAAGAAAAGUUAUAGUAAAGGAACUCGGCAAAAAAAGAUUUCUGCCUGUUUAUCAAAAACAUGUCUUUAUGAAUUUUAUGUAAAGUCUAGCCUGCCCAGUGAUAUUGAAGUUUAACGGCCGCGGUAGCAUGACCGUGCUAAGGUAGCAU
rnacentral:rRNA from 1 species